rnacentral:misc_RNA from 1 species
UGGUUCUGGCAUCGAUGAAGAACGCAGCGAAAUGCGAUAAGUAAUGUGAAUUGCAGAAUUCAGUGAAUCAUCGAAUCUUUGAACGCACAUUGCGCCCCCUAGCAUUCUGGAGGGCAUGCCUGUUCGAGCGUCAUUUCAACCCUCAGGCUCUAGCUUGGUGUUGGGGCACUACAUCUGAUGUAGGCUCUGUAUAUGCGUGGCGGAUCUAUCGCAACCCCGAGCGUAGUAAAUUUAUUAUUCGCUCUUGGUAGUUGCAGUGGUGUCCUGCUGUGAAACACACCCUUAUAAGUUGACCUCGGAUCAGGUAGGAAUACCCGCUGA